rnacentral:rRNA from 1 species
UUAAAUUGAGAGUUUGAUCAUGGCUCAGAUUGAACGCUGGCGGCAGGCCUAACACAUGCAAGU